CUCAGUUUGGAAAAUUUCAGUUUAGUCUUAUAUGGGCUAAUAUGGGCAACUUAUUCUAGUGCAAACAAGAGUGUGAGAGGCCAAAAAUCAAUGCAGUAUCAUUAAUGUGAUGACAUGCUGAAGUGCAUGAGGCAAGAAAAAAAAGGAUAUAACUGAAGUACAACCCCCAACUGAACCAUACUGACACAGACUGAAGCAGUUUUCACCUCAGUACUCUCUACAGGACUUUUAAACAAUUCUCCUUUUCUGAACUGCUGAAGAAAAUGUUUUGCUCACUUGUUUUUUGCUCUUUGUGCUUUUGGCAUGUGGUUGGUGUCACCACUAAUUGUCAAUCAUCACUCAAUCAUCAAUCAAUUAUCUCAUUAACUUUAACACUGCUUCAGUGUUACUUUUUAACACCCGGCAAGAUGGACUCAUAUGUACGCUUUGGGUGUUAAUUUAACACUGGGGAUUUUGCUGUGCAGAACCAAAGACUCUGGACUCUAUGAAAUGACCAUCAAGGGCAAGAAAGACAAAUAUACAUUCACUGUUAUUGUCUAUGCUCGUCUGCCUGUUCCUGUCAUCAGCAGUAACUCUUCACAAUGUUUUUCAUCAUCAUCACCAUGUUCAUUGUUGUGUUCAUCUGUGAAUGGGCGUCAUGUGACUCUCGCCUGGUACAAAAAAAACAGAUUAAUGUCCGGCAUCAGUGUGUCUGAUCCCAGCAUCAGUCUCUCUCUACCUCUGGAGCUGGAAUAUCAGAAGAGAAACACCUACAGCUGUGUGUCGAGCAAUCCAAUCAGCAAACAGACAAGACAUUUCAACAUCACUCAACUCUGUCACACGUCCAGGUGUGUUUGGUGAUUCAGUGUCAGUGAUGGAGGGAGAUUCUGUCACUCUAAAAACUGAUCUUACUAAAAUACAUGAAGACGACGAGAUACGGUGGAGCUUUACAGAAAAGUUUACUAUAGCUGAAAUCAGUAAAGGUGCUAGAAUAUUCUCAGAAUGUAAUGAUCCUGAUGGGAGAUUCAGAGGCAGACUAAAUGUGGAUCAUCAAACUGGAUCUCUGACCAUCACAAACACCACAACUGAACAUGCUGGAGUUUAUAAACUAGAGAUCAAAAGAGUGAUAAAGAGUUUCAUUCUCACCGUGUAUGCUCAUCUGCCUGUUCCUGUCAUCAGCACAGACUGUUCAUCAUCAUCAUCAUCAUCAAAUUGUUCAUUGGUGUGUUCAGCUGUGAAUGUGAGUCAUGUGACUCUCUCCUGGUACAAAGGAAACAGUUUAUUGUCCAGCAUCAGUGUGUCUGAUCUCAGCAUCAGUCUCUCUCUACCUCUGGAGGUGGAAUAUCAGGAUAAAAACACCUACAGCUGUGUGCUGAACAAUCCCAUCAGCAACCAGACUCAACAUCUGGACAUCACUCAACUCUGUCACACAUGUGCAGCCGUUACAGCACUGGUCCCACAGACUCUUUCACAGUCUCCUUCAGCUCCUCCAGUCUCAGUCUUUCUGAUAGUGUUGAUCUCUGCUGGAUCUCUGUUGAUUGUAGCUGCUCUCGGGAUCUUCUGGAUCUGCAGGAAACAUAGAAAAAUUGACA